rnacentral:rRNA from 1 species
GGAGUCUGGGCCGUGUCUCAGUCCCAAUGUGGCCGUCCAUCCUCUCAGACCGGCUACUGAUCGUCGCCUUGGUAGGCUUUUACCCUGCCAACCAGCUAAUCAGUCGCGGGCCCAUCCUAUACCGCCGGAGUUUUUCCAACCGGAGCAUGCGCCCCUGUUGGCUUAUGCGGUUUUAGCGUACAUUUCUAUACGUUAUCCCCCUGUAUAGGGUAGGUUACCCACGUGUUACUCACCCGUCCGCCGCUAAGCUUUCUCGCGCCUCCCCUCGCAGCAAGCUGCUUGGUUUGGCAGUGAAAAAGCUCCGCUCGACCUGCAUGUGUUAAGCGUGCCGCCAGCGUUCAUC